UCCCGAGGGUGUAGCAAUACAUCCGAGGGGGAAGUGGCGAAAGGGGCAGUAAGGCGUGGGUAACCUACCCCGGGGACCGGGAUAGCUUCCCUAACGGGAAGGUAAUACCGGGCGAUCUGGUCUUGGGGCCUCCUUGGACCAGGAGAUGAAUUUCGCCUCGGGAGGGGCUCACGUGGUAUUAGCUAGACGGCGAGGUAACGGCUCACCGUGGCCAAGAUGCCUAGCGGGUGUGAGAGCACGACCCGCGCCACUGGCACUGAGACACUGGCCAGACUCCUACGGGAGGCUGCAGUCGAGGAUCUUCGGCAAUGGGCGCAAGCCUGACCGAGCGACGCCGCGUGCGCGAUGAAGGCCUUCGGGUUGUAAAGCGCUGUCGAGGGGGAGGAAGCCGAAAGGUUGACCUAUCCCUGGAGGAAGCACGGGCUAAGUUCGUGCCAGCAGCCGCGGUAAGACGAACCGUGCGAACGUUGUUCGGAAUCACUGGGCUUAAAGGGCGCGUAGGCGGGCCUCCCAGUCCGGGGUGAAAGCUUUCGGCUUAACCGGAAAAGUGCCUUGGAUACUGGAGGUCUGGAGGGAGGUAGGGGCAAUCGGAACUUCCGGUGGAGCGGUGAAAUGCGUUGAUAUCGGAAGGAACGCCGGUGGCGAAAGCGGAUUGCUGGACCUUUUCUGACGCUGGGGCGCGAAAGCCAGGGGAGCGAACGGGAUUAGAUACCCCGGUAGUCCUGGCCCUAAACGAUGGGUACUGGGUAGGGGACUUGACAUGGGUUCCCUGCCGCAGCGAAAGUGGUAAGUA
rnacentral:rRNA from 1 species